rnacentral:sRNA from 1 species
GGGGUCCAGAUUUUAUGGAAAUGAGCUCAAGAAAGAAAAGCAAGUCAACCAACGAAUUGAAAAUAUGAUGCAACAAAAAGCUCAAAUCACCAGCCAACAGCUAAGAAAAGCACAAUUACAGCAAUUCUACAGAGGAACAUUUACAUUAUGCUACAGUAUCUUCAGUUGUACCUUCCUGUUCAGCAUAAACAUCAUAUGCCAAAGAGGUUGACAGAUUUGCAAUGGAAUUAGAACAGAGCCGAAAUUUGAGCAAUACCAUAGUGCACAUUGACAUGGAUGCUUUCUAUGCAGCUGUAGAAAUGAGGGACAAUCCAGAAUUGAAGGAUAAACCCAUUGCUGUAGGAUCAAUGAGUAUGCUGUCUACUUCAAAUUACCAUGCAAGGAGAUUUGGUGUUCGUGCAGCCAUGCCAGGAUUUAUUGCUAAGAGGCUGUGCCCACAACUUAUAAUAGUGCCCCCAAACUUUGACAAAUACCGAGCUGUGAGUAAAGAGGUUAAGGAAAUACUUGCUGAUUAUGAUCCCAAUUUUAUGGCCAUGAGUCUUGAUGAAGCCUACUUGAAUAUAACAAAGCACUUAGAAGAAAGACAAAAUUGGCCUGAGGAUAAAAGAAGGUAUUUCAUCAAAAUGGGA